UACGUAGGGUCCGAGCGUUGUCCGGAAUCACUGGGCGUAAAGCGUGCGUAGGCGGUUCGUUAAGUCUGCUGUGAAAGCCCUGGGCUCAACCUGGGAACUGCAGUGGAUACUGGCGGACUAGAGUGUGAUAGAGGAUGGUGGAAUUCCCGGUGUAGCGGUGAAAUGCGCAGAUAUCAGGAGGAACACCAAUUGCGAAGGCAGCUCGCUGGGACGUUACUGACGCUGAGACGCGAAAGCGUGGGGAGCAAACAGG
rnacentral:rRNA from 1 species